rnacentral:rRNA from 1 species
AACCGGAUUAGAUACCCUGGUUAGUCCACGCCGUAAACGAUGUCGACUUGGAGGUUGUUCCCUUGAGGAGUAGCUUCCGGAGCUAACGCGUUAAGUCGACCACCUGGGAGUACGGCCGCAAGGUUAAACUCAAAUGAAUUGACGGGGGGCCCGCACAAGCGGUGGAGCAUGUGGUUUAAUUCGAUGCAACGCGAAGAACCUUACCUACUCUGACAUCCAGCGAACUUUCCAGAGAUGGAUUGGUGCCUUCGGGAACGCUGAGACAGGUGCUGCAUGGCUGUCGUCAGCUCGUGUUGUGAAAUGUUGGGUUAAGUCCCGCAACGAGCGCAACCCUUAUCCUUUGUUGCCAGCGAUUCGGUCGGGAACUCAAAGGAGACUGCCGGUGAUAAACCGGAGGAAGGUGGGGAUGACGUCAAGUCAUCAUGGCCCUUACGAGUAGGGCUACACACGUGCUACAAUGGCGCAUACAAAGAGAAGCGACCUCGCGAGAGCAAGCGGACCUCACAAAGUGCGUCGUAGUCCGGAUCGGAGUCUGCAACUCGACUCCGUGAA